rnacentral:rRNA from 1 species
GGUCGAACAGACCUAAUCGUUUAGCGCCUACACCAAACAUUUAUUUUAAUCCAACAUCGAGGUCGCAAUCCUUUCUUUCGAUAAGAACUCUAAAAAAGAUAWCGCUGUUAUCCCUAAGGUAAUUUAUUCUUAUCAUCCUAAAUUAAGGCCCAAAAACACAUAAAUAAAUGAAAAAAUUUUAAAAAAAGUUAACCUAAUUUUUCUGUCACCCCAACAAAAUAGUUUCUUUACUAAGAAAAUUUUAAAUACUUACCUAAACUUAACAAAAAAACUAUAAAACUCUAUAGGGUCUUCUCGUCUUCCAUUCAUAUUUAAGCUUUUUCACUUAAAAAUAAAAUUCAAUUAAAUUUUCACAGAGAGAGUCUUUUUCUCAUCAAACCUUUCAUUCCAGCUUUCAAUUAAAAAACUAAUGAUUAUGUUACCUUUGUACGGUCAAAUUACCGCAGCCAUUUAACACUCAUAGGGCAGGUCAGACUUGAAAUUAUAAUCAACAAGUCAUGUUUU